UACAGAGGUCCCAAGCGUUGUUCGGAUUCACUGGGCGUAAAGGGUGCGUAGGCGGUCGGGUAAGUCUGAUGUGAAAUCUCACAGCUUAACUGUGAAACUGCAUUGGAUACUAUCCGGCUAGAGGAAUGGAGGGGAGACUGGAAUACUUGGUGUAGCAGUGAAAUGCGUAGAUAUCAAGUGGAACACCAGUAGCGAAGGCGAGUCUCUGGACAUUUCCUGACGCUGAGGCACGAAAGCCAGGGGAGCAAACGGG
rnacentral:rRNA from 1 species